CAGGGUUUCUCCAUGUUGGCCAUGUUCGAACUCCUGACCUCAGGUGAUCCCUCUGCCUCGGCCUCCUAAAGUGCUGGAUUACAGGCAUGAGCCACCAUGCCUGGCCACAAAUUUGCUUCUAAUUGUUGAUGACAUAUAGGAAUACAAUUGAUUUUUGUUUAUAGAUUUGUAUUCACCCACUUUGCAAUUUUCUCUUAGUAAUUUUAUUAUUUUAUAUGUAGAUUUUUCUAGAUGUUCCAAAUAUAUGACUAUAUAGUAUGCAAAAAAUGUUAUGCUUCUUUCUUUAUUAUUUUUAAAUUAAUUUUUUGCCUAAAUUUGCUGCCUAGGAUCUCCAGAACAAUGCUGAAUGUCAUUUCUAAUCUCAUGAGAAAUUAUUUGAAGAUUUCACAAUUUUCUAUGAUAAUUGAUGUAUACUUUUUGAAGUUACUUUUUUUUUUUCCAAAAUAAGGAGUAGAGCUAGGUUUGUGUUUUAUCGUUGCUAUGAUUACUUUCAUUCUACCACUGGCUAUUUGAUUCCUUGCUAAGACCAGUUCUCUGAGAUGUUCAAGAAAAGUUAUAGUUUUGUAGUUUAUUCAAGUUUUUUCUCAUUGGUGGAGUGAGAGCAAGACUCUUGUUUUAAAAUAAGUUUAUUGAGGCACAUUUUACAUAUCAUAUAAUUUAUCCUUUUCAAAUGUAUAAUUCAAUGAUUUAAAAAAAUUUACCAAGUAGUGUACUCGUGACAUUAAAUCAUUUUAGAACAUUUUUGUCAUUCCAAUAUGAUUCCUCACGCACGUUUACUGUUAAUCCCCAUCCUCUACCUUCUCACUGCCCUAUCCCAGUAACCACUACUCUAUUUUCUAUUUUUAUAGUUUGGAAACUGUUCCUGCUAGUUUUCUACAUCCUUGGCAGGAGUAUAACCUCUCAGUUGGUUAGGAUGUUUAUUCACCUGUUUACAGAUAAGUUGAAGUUUUUAGUUACACUGUUGACAUGUCUUUACUAUAUGUCUACGGUUUAUUACGUUGUUUCAGUAUUCUAAAUAUUUAAGGCUGUUUUUAUCUGUGUGCUUUAUCAUUUUCUCAGAAAUGUGUUUAAAAUAUUCUAUUAAUUUCAAAGAUAGCUAUUUUCCAUUGUGGUUGUUGUUUUGCCAAUUUAUUCUUGUUCUAUCAAUUUUAUCAUUAUUUUGAAGUUGUUUUUAGAAUGCAUAUGAGCCUUGUUAAAUAUCCCUAAUGAGUUUUUUUUUACUGAUUAGGCGAGGACUUUCUUUUAUCUUGAUUAUACUUUUUGCCUUUAUGUGCAUUAUACUUAUACUAAUAUUCUAUCCUUUUAAUUUGAGGCUUUCUUUGUCUUUGUGGUUUAGAUGUAUCAACUGCAAACAGCAUAUGAUUAAAUUUUUAUUCUUUUUAAUUCAAUAAUAGAAUGUUUAUUUUAAUAGGGGGAUCAAUUCAUUUUAAAUCAUUGUGAUUACAUAUUUCCAGCAACUAGCUAAGUUUUAGGUUAGAAAUGUCUUUGCUUCUUUAUCCACACUUUUCUGCCUUUUAUUGAAUGAUUUUUUUUCUGUUAUAAUUAUAGAUUCACAAAAAGUUGCAAAGAACAGCACAGAGUGGUCCCAUGUACUAUUUAUUGCAUUUCCCCCAGUGUUCCUAUCUUAGGUAAUUAUAGAACAACAUCAAGACCAGGAAACUGACAUUGCUACAAUGUAUAUGUAUUAGUCUAUGCCAUUUUAUCACAUGUAGAUUUGUAUAAUCACCACAAAAAUCAAAAUACAGAACCCCUCCAUUACCAGAUCUCCUGUGUACUUCCUGCCAAUUAAAAUAACACUCACCCUUGUCUCCCUGAAUACCUCUAACCCCUAGCAAUACAUAUCUGCUGUCCAUCUCUAAAAUUUUGUCAUUUUGAUAAUGUUAUAUGAAUGGAAUCAUUCAUAUAACAUUAUAUUAUGAAUAUCCUUCAUAUAACAUCAUUUAAUAUUUAGAUUGCCUUUUCUGUACCAGCAUAGUGCCUUGAGAUUCAUCCAGAUUGUUGCCUGUAGCAAUAGCUUGUUCCUUGUAUUGCUUGGUAGUAUUCUGUGAGAUGGAUUUACCACAGCUUGUUUAUCAAGCAGGGGGUGGAAAUUCAGGUUCUUCACUAGGUGACCAACGUUAUCAAUCUGGCUGGCAGGAGAAGGGGUACCUUGUUACUGCUACAGACAUCAGGGAGAUGGGGGUGCUGAUGGGUGGGCGGUGGUCUCAUUACUGCUGAGAGGUCUCCCCACUCAGCUUCCUCUAACACUAGCCCUGUGGAAAUAGGGAGGAGAAGGGUACCUUUUUAAUGCAGAUGGAGGCUGAAGUCCAGCCUUUCCACGUGGCCAUAACAGACCCUGUGUGUGUGUGUGUGUCUGUGUGUGCACGUGUGCAUGCACUCAUUCACACUUCCUAGACUAGGAUGAAAGUCCUGGCUCCUAACUUGUUCUUCUCUGCUACCAUCCUGGGUGUGGGAGGAGCAGCUUCAUUACAGCUGGGUGAGGAUGGAAGACUAAGCUCCCACCUGGGACUUUGCUGAAAGAAUGAGGUGGGGCCGCAUUUUCCCCCCAGUAGUGUUUAAUUCUACUGGGGUGGUUAUCCUGUGCAAGUUUUCUAUUUUGCUAGGCUGCUCUCUUCCUGGUCCUUUGACUAGAGAACAGUCUGUUCUUCGAGCUUUUUUGUCUGCCCAAUAUUGACAUUCUGGUUGUAGGCUUCUGAUGGUUUGAGCUUUAUUUAGUCCCCUAUCUCCUCCAGUGAUUUUGAAAGAGUUUAUUUUCCUUUUUAUAUGUUAAUAUUUACCCCCAAAUACGUGACAAAUUCUAAAAUAUAGCGAUAGCUCUAUAUCUUACCAGAGAUCUUGAAACACUUCUACUUUAACAAUCAGAUUCAAUGUCUUGCGUGUUAUCACUGUCAUGUAUUUUGGCUCUAUCUUAUUUGUAAGUUCUUGCGAAUUUUAAUUUUUGUUACAAGCUUCCUUAUACUCAAUGCUUAUUUUAACUUCCCAAUAUGUUUGCCAAUUUCUUUGUUCAGCAUUGUUUCUUGCUUUCCUUUCCUCUUUCCUGAUUCAAUUACAUUCUUGCUGAAAUACAUGCUUAAUAGCUUUUUAUUGAUAGCAAAUGGUGACGGUCUUUUUGUUUUUCUUUUAUUCUGACAAAUGUUUUACUCUAAGGUUUUCUCUGAUCAAGAAGACCUUAACAUUCCCCUCUGCUUGACUAAACAUCAGACAGGCUUCUUCUUGACUUUAGGCCCUUGACCUCUGUUAAAUAAAAUUUGUAAGAGGCCAUUGAUUUGGACUAGCUCCUUCAUGAGGCCCCACAGACAAGACCAAAAUAAAGUUUAAUCAAAGCAGCUGGGCUUCAGGUAAUUGCAGGAGGCUCUGUAACCAAUUAACCAAUUAAACCAUAACCACUUAAAUGGCCUCUGUACUUCACUUCUGUUUUCUCUUACUGCCGUGAUCACGUCGUUGACUGGAGUUCUUAGAACCUGUUUGGGUUCUGAGGGUUAUCAGAUUUGCAAAUUAUUUUUUCCUCUUAAAACUCAGUUAAAUUUAAACUGUUUAAGGUUUUUCCUUUCAAAGAUUGGCAUAGUUGGCAAGAUCCAAAGGAGAGCUCCAGUGACCCCUAGAGAGCCUGAGGUGAGCAAGCGAGAGUAGCCCCGAAAGUCCAUUGUGUCUAUUGAUCUCUCCUGGCAACUGAAGAUUGUGGGCGAGUUCUUGCUCAGUUUCCAGCAUUCACUAAUUUGUGUUCUGAACUCUCUGGGCUUAUUUGAGCAAUUUGAUCUGAACUAGGAUCAGCAGUGGCAACAGAAACAAGAUGACGUUCUCCAGGAAGACCUUGGGUGUCUGACUGAAUCAUACAGAAACUGGACUUUAUCCAGAGCUGCAUUGGAGUUAAGGACUUCCAGUACAAUCUUGAAAAGCAGUGGUGAGAAGGGGCACCCAUGCCUUUCUCCUCAUCUUAGGAGGAAAGCAUGUAAGUUUCUUCCCAUUAAAUAGGAAGUUAGCUGCAGGUUUUUUGUAGAUAUUCUUGAUCAAAUUGAGGAAAUUUCCCCAUUCCCAGUUUACUGAGAAUUUUAAAAAAUCAUAAAUGGGUGUUAGAUUUUGUCAAAUGAUUCGUCUGUAUCUAUUGAUAAAAUAUAAUUUUUUAAAUCUAGCUAGUUUAUAUGGUAGAAUAUAUUAGUCAAUUUUCAAAUGCUGAACCAGCUUUUUAUAUCUGGAAUAAAUCCCACUUGGUUGUGGUGUGUAAUUCUUUUAUGCAUUGCUGAAUUCCAUUUACUAAUAUUUUGUUGAAAAUUUUUACAUCUCUGUUUAUGAGACAUAUUGUUCUGUAGUUUUCCUUUCUUAUAAUGUCUUUAUCUGGUUUUGGUAUUAGGGUAAUGCUGGCCUCAUAAUAUGAGUUAGGAAGUGUUCAUUCUGCUUCUAUGUUUUGGAGGAGAUCAUGAAGAGUUGGUAUCAUUUCUUCAUUAAAUGUUUGGUAGAAUUCACAAUAAAACCAUUUGGGUCUGAUGCUGUGUUUUUUGGAAGAUUACUGUUGAUUCACUUUCUUUAAUGAAUAUAGUCCUCUUCAAAUUACCUAUUUUUAUUUGUAUGAUUUUCAGUAGAUGAUGUCUUUCAGAGAAUUGGUCUAAGUUAUCCAUUUUAUGGGAAUCUAGUUUAUAAUAUUCUUUUAUUAUCCUUUAAAUAUCCCUGGUAUCAGUGUUGAUGGUCUUUCAUUGCUGAUAUUAGUAAUUUGUGUGUUUUCUCUUUAUUUCCUCCUUCUCCUGAUGAAAGGUAUCAAUUUUAUUGAUCUUUUUAAAGAAUGACUUUUAGUUUCAAUGAUUUUCUCUGUUGUCUUCCCAUAUUUUAAAUUUUAAUUUUUAUUUAUUUUUUUGGUUUCUGAAAAUCUUAUUAGUUUGAAAUAACUUCAAGUUCAUAGAAAAAUUACAGGAAUAACACAACAAAUUCCUAUGUAUUCUUUAUACAGAUUUGCUAGCUUUAGCUUUUUACUACAUUUGCCUCAUUAUUGGCUCUCUAUACAAGUAUACACAUACAUCUAUAAGUUAUAUAUCUGUAAUAUGUACAUUACAUAUAUUUUCCCCUAAGCUAUUUGAGGAUUAUAGACAUACUCUAUUAGUAUCAGGAAAUUAACAUUGACACAUUACCAGUUAAUUAACAGACCCCUUCAUUUGUUUUGCUGAUUAUUCCAAUAAUGUCUUUUAUUGGCAAAGGAGCCAACCUAGGAGUGUAUGUUGCAUUAGUUCUUAGGUUUUGUUUUUCUUUCUUUUUUUGUUUCCUUUGAUCUGAAAGUGCUUCUGUCUUUUCUUAUCUUUCAUGGCUUUACAUUUUUGAAGAGUACAGGACUGUUAACUUGUAAAAUGCUCUUUAUUUUGUAACUGUCUGAUGUUUCCUCAUCACUAAAUUCAGAUUAGGUGUACUAAAAUGACAUGUUUUCUUAGUGUAUUAUUUAUUUAUUUAAAUAAAUGUAUUUAAGAUUCAGAGAGUAUAUGUGCAUGUUUGUUACAGGGGUAUAUUGACUGGUGAGCACUGGGCUUUUAGUGUACUCAGUACCCAAAUAGUAAACACUGUACUUAAUGAGUUAAUUUUUAAACUCUUAUUCUCUUCUAAGCCUACCUGCUUUUGGAGUCUCUAGUUCUGUUUCCAUCUUUAUGUCCAGUCCAUCAGUACUCAUUGUUUAGCUCCCACUUGUAAGUGAGAACAUGCAGUAUUUCUUCUGUUUACUCUAGGUUUACAUUGCUUCUUUUUCUUAGUUCCCUAAGGUGGCACCUUGGACUAUUGAUUUUUAUAUCUUUGUUCUUUUCGAAUAUAUUCAUUCAAUGCUAUAAUUUCCCUCUAAGCACUGCUUUUGCUGUAUCCACAAAUUUUGAUAAGUUGUAUUUUCAUUUUCAUGUAGUUCAACUAUUUUUAAAUUUUUGUUGAGAGUUUUUAUUUGACCCAUAUAUUUAAAAGUGAUUGUUUAGUCUCUAAAUAUUUUGGCAUUUUUCAACUAUAUUUAUGUUUAUAUUGAUUUCUAGUUUAACUCCAUUUAGUUUGAGAGCAUAUUUCAUAUAAUUUUUCUGUUUUUUAAAAAAUUUAAGGUGUGUUUUAUGACCUGUAUUGUGGCCUAUCUCAAUGAAUGUUUUAUGUGAAUUUGAAAGAAAUGUGUAUUUUUCUGUUAUUGCAUGAAGCAUUCUAUAAAUGUCAAUUAAAUCAAGUUGAUUGAUGGUGCUGUUUGGUUCAACUACAUUUUUACUGAUUUUCUGCCUGGUGGCUUUGUCAAUUACUGAUUGAGAUGUGUUGAAGUCUGAAUUAUAAUAACUCACUGAUCUCUUUUUCCUUCUGAUUUCUAUCCGAUUUUGCCUCAUGUAUUUUUAUGGUCUAUUGUUAGGCAUAUACAUAUUAAAGAUUAUCGUGUCUUCUUGGAAAAUUGACCCUGAUAUCAUUAUGUAACUCUCAUAUGUAUCAUUGACAAUUUUUUUGAAGUCUGCUUUUCAUGAAGCAAUAAAAAGUUUUGUUUGAUCAGUGUUACUAAAGUUUAUUUUUCUUUAUCUCUUUAUGUUUAAUCUAUGUCUUUAUAUUUGAAGUGUUUCUUGGAGGCCAUAUAAAAUUGCAUCUUCAAAGAAGUCCAUUCUGUCAGUCUCUGUCUUUUAAUUUGUGUAUUUAGAUCAUUCACAUCUGAAGUGAUUAUUGAUAUAGUUGGAUUAUUAUCUACCACAUUUGUAAAUUUUCUUUUUGUUGCACUUGUUCUGUUUCUUCAUCUUUGCUUAUUUUUGCAUCUUCUCUGGUUUCAGUUGAGCAUUUUAUAUAAUUUCAUCUUCUCUCCUCUCUUAGCAUACCAAUUAUAAUUCUCUUUAUACAUUUUUUGGUAGUUUCCCUAGAGUUUAACAUACACAUUUACAAUUAAACCAAGUCGACUUUCAAAUAACUGUGUACCACUUCAUGGGCAGUGUUGGUAUGUUAUAGCAAAGUAUGCCUAAUUUCUCCCUCUUAUUCCUUACAAACAGCAAUAGGAAACAAUAAACACAGACUAACUUCUAGUCAUAUAAACAUAAAACUUUACACUAAAGGUCUGUGUUUUCAAUGCCCAGUGUAUGAUACAUCACAUCUGACUUUAAACAAAAGAAUUAUAAAGCAUAACAAAAGGCAAGAAGAAAGCACUCUGGAGACUUAAAGCAGCAUCAGAAGAUAACUCAGAUAUGACAGGGAUUUUUAAAUUAUCCAGCCAAGAAUUUAUAUAACUAUAAUACAUGAAAGGCUCUAAUGGAAAAAGUGGACAAAAAUGCAAGAACACAUUGGUAAUGUAAGCAGAGACAUGAAAACUCUAGGAAGACUCAAAAGUAAAUGCUAGAAAUAAAAACAGUACAAAAAAAUGAAGAAUAUCUUUGAUAGGCUUAUCAGUAGAUUGCAUAUGGUUGACAAAAGAACUAGUGAGUUUAAAGAUACAUCACUAGAAACUUCCUAAAGUGAAAUGCUAACAUAAAAUGGAAAAAAAGGAAACAAUAGUCAAGAACCAUGGGAAAAUUAGAAAAGUUGGACCUUACAUGUAAUAAAAAUAACAGAAGAAGAAAGAAAGGAGAAGAAGUGUUUGAAGUAAUAAUGGCUGAGAAUUUUCCAACAUAAAGUCGGAUACCAAAACAGAUUCAGGGAGUUCAGGGAACACUCAGAAAGAUAAAUAGAAAAAAUAUAUACUUAGGUAUAUCAUAUGCAAACUAUAGAAAUCAAAAGACAAUGAGAAAAUCUUGAAAGAAGGCAAAGGAAAAAAUACCUUUUUAAUAGAGAAAAAGAAGUAAGAAUUACAAUGGUUAUCUCUUCUGAAAUCAUGCCAGCAAAGAGAGAGUGGAAUAAAAUAUUUAAAGUGGUGGAAGAAAAAAAAUCACCAUGGUCACAGAGAAAACUGGGCAAACUCAGCCAUUCUCCUUCUCAGUGAAGGAAAAAUAAAAGCUUUUUCAGAUAAACAAAAACAGAGAAUUUGUCUCCACAUAUCUGCAUUACAGGAUAUGGGAAAACUAAAUUUUUCAGAAAGAAGAAAAAUUACAUAAAUCGGAAACUCAGCUAUGCAUAAAGAAGAGCAUUAGAGAAGAAAUAAACAAAUAAUGGGUGUGGGUUUUUCCUGUUCUGUUCUCAUGAUAAUGAGUCUCACAAGAUCUGAUGGUUUUAAAAGAGGAGUUCCCCUGGACAAGUUCUCUGACUUUGACUGCUGCCAUCCAUGUAAGAUAUGAGUUGCUCCUCCUUGUCUUCCAACAUGAUUGUGAAGCUUUCCUAGCCACAUGGAACUGUAAGUCCAAUUAAACCUCUUUCUUUUGUAAAUU